rnacentral:rRNA from 1 species
UACAGAGGUCCCAAGCGUUGUUCGGAUUCAUUGGGCGUAAAGGGUGCGUAGGCGGCGCGGUAAGUCGGGUGUGAAAUCUCGGAGCUUAACUCCGAAACUGCAUUCGAUACUGCCGUGCUUGAGGACUGGAGAGGAGACUGGAAUUUACGGUGUAGCGGUGAAAUGCGUAGAUAUCGUCUGGAACGCCAAAGGUGAAAACAGACUGCUGGGAGUGAUGCUGACGCUGA